rnacentral:rRNA from 1 species
AUUGAACGCUGGCGGCAGGCCUAACACAUGCAAGUCGAACGAGUGGCGGACGGGUGAGUAAUGUCUGGGAAACUGCCCGAUGGAGGGGGAUAACUACUGGAAACAGUAGCUAAUACCGCAUACCAUCGGAUGUGCCCAGAUGGGAUUAGCUAGUAGGUGGGGUAACGGCUCACCUAGGCGACGAUCCCUAGCUGGUCUGCGAGGAUGACCAGCCACACUUGAACUGAGACACGGUCCAGACUCCUACGGGAGGCAGCAGUGGGGAAUAUUGCACAAUGUGCGAUAGCCGCAGUCAGCCAUGCCUCGUGUAUGAAGUAGGCCUGUGGGUUCUAAAGUACUUUCAGCGAGGAGGCGUUACUCGCAGAAGAAGCACCGGCUAACUCCGUGCCAGCAGCCGCGGUAAUUC